rnacentral:rRNA from 1 species
AAUCAACGCUGGCGGCGUGCCUAACACAUGCAAGUCGAACGCGAAAACCCCGCAAGGGGUUAGUAGAGUGGCGAACGGGUGAGUAACACGUGGGUGACCUACCUUCGAAUGGGGGAUAAC